rnacentral:rRNA from 1 species
GACGAACGCUGGCGGCGUGCCUAACACAUGCAAGUCGAGCGGAGAUAAGCGGAUGGUAACUGAAGUUUGUCUUAGCGGCGGACGGGUGAGUAACACGUGGGCAACCUGCCUUGGAGUGGGGGAUAACACCGGGAAAUCGGUGCUAAUACCGCAUAACAUACACAAACUGCAUGGUAAGUGUAUCAAAGGAGCAAUCCGCUUUAAGAUGGGCCCGCGGCUGAUUAGCUAGUUGGUAAGGUAACGGCUUACCAAGGCGACGAUCAGUAGCCGACCUGAGAGGGUGACCGGCCACACUGGAACUGAGACACGGUCCAGACUCCUACGGGAGGCAGCAGUGGGGAAUAUUGCGCAAUGGGGGGAACCCUGACGCAGCAACGCCGCGUGGAGGAAGAAGGUCUUCGGAUUGUAAACUCCUGUCUUCUGGGACGAAGUAUGACGGUACCAGAGGAGGAAGCCACGGCUAACUACGUG